rnacentral:tRNA from 3 species
GGGGGUGUAGCUCAGUUGGCUAGAGCGCUUGAAUGGCAUUCACGAGGUCAGGGGUUCAAUUCCCCUCACCUCCA